rnacentral:rRNA from 1 species
GACGAACGCUGGCGGCGUGCUUAACACAUGCAAGUCGAACGGAAAGGCCCUGCUUUUGUGGGGUGCUCGAGUGGCGAACGGGUGAGUAACACGUGAGUAACCUGCCCUUGACUUUGGGAUAACUUCAGGAAACUGGGGCUAAUACCGGAUAGGAGCUCCUGCUGCAUGGUGGGGGUUGGAAAGUUUCGGCGGUUGGGGAUGGACUCGCGGCUUAUCAGCUUGUUGGUGGGGUAGUGGCUUACCAAGGCUUUGACGGGUAGCCGGCCUGAGAGGGUGACCGGCCACAUUGGGACUGAGAUACGGCCCAGACUCCUACGGGAGGCAGCAGUGGGGAAUAUUGCACAAUGGGCGGAAGCCUGAUGCAGCAACGCCGCGUGCGGGAUGACGGCCUUCGGGUUGUAAACCGCUUUCGCCUGUGACGAAGCGUGAGUGACGGUAAUGGGUAAAGAAGCACCGGCUAACUACGUGCCAGCAGCCGCGGUGAUACGUAGGGUGCGAGCGUUGUCCGGAUUUAUUGGGCGUAAAGGGCUCGUAGGUGGUUGAUCGCGUCGGAAGUGUAAUCUUGGGGCUUAACCCUGAGCGUGCUUUCGAUACGGGUUGACUUGAGGAAGGUAGGGGAGAAUGGAGUUCCUGGUGGAGCGGUGGAAUGCGCAGAUAUCAGGAGGAACACCAGUGGCGAAGGCGGUUCUCUGGGCCUUUCCUGACGCUGAGGAGCGAAAGCGUGGGGAGCGAACAGGCUUAGAUACCCUGGUAGUCCACGCUGUAAACGGUGGGUACUAGGUGUGGGGUCCAUUCCACGGGUUCCGUGCCGUAGCUAACGCUUUAAGUACCCCGCCUGGGGAGUACGGCCGCAAGGCUAAAACUCAAAGGAAUUGACGGGGCCCCGCACAAGCGGCGGAGCAUGCGGAUUAAUUCGAUGCAACGCGUAGAACCUUACCUGGGUUUGACAUGGAUCGGGAGUGCUCAGAGAUGGGUGUGCCUCUUUUGGGGUCGGUUCACAGGUGGUGCAUGGCUGUCGUCAGCUCGUGUCGUGAGAUGUUGGGUUAAGUCCCGCAACGAGCGCAACCCUUGUUCACUGUUGCCAGCACGUUAUGGUGGGGACUCAGUGGAGACCGCCGGGGUCAACUCGGAGGAAGGUGGGGAUGACGUCAAGUCAUCAUGCCCCUUAUGUCCAGGGCUUCACGCAUGCUACAAUGGCUGGUACAGAGAGUGGCGAGCCUGUGAGGGUGAGCGAAUCUCGGAAAGCCGGUCUCAGUUCGGAUUGGGGUCUGCAACUCGACCUCAUGAAGUCGGAGUCGCUAGUAAUCGCAGAUCAGCAACGCUGCGGUGAAUACGUUCCCGGGGCUUGUACACACCGCCCGUCAAGUCAUGAAAGUUGGUAACACCCGAAGCCGGUGGCCUAACCGUUGUGGGGGAGCCGUCGAAGGUGGGACUGGUGAUUAGGACU